rnacentral:rRNA from 1 species
AUACGUAGGUGACAAGCGUUAUCCGGAUUUAUUGGGUUUAAAGGGUGCGUAGGCGGUUUGCUAAGCGGGAGGUGAAAUGCCGGCGCUCAACGUCGGAAGUGCCUCCCGAACUGGUGGACUUGAAUGACUCUGCCGUGGGAGGAAUGUGUAGUGUAGCGGGGAAAUGCUUAGAGAUUACACAGAACACCGAUUGCGAAGGCAUCUCACGAAGGGUUGAUUGACGCUGAGGCACGAAAGCGUGGGGAUCAAACAGGAUUAGAUACCCUGGUAGUCCACGCAGUAAACGAUGAUGGCUAACCGCUGGGCUUAUCAGUUCAGUGGCCAAGCGAAAGCGAUAAGCCAUCCACCUGGGGAGUACGACCGCAAGGUUGAAACUUAAAGGAAUUGACGGGG